GGUUAAAUAAGAAAAUUAACCUUUAUAGCCCUUAACUCUUGUGUAUGUCUACAGGAAAGACGUAACACAAUAAUGUUUUUGACCCAUUUCUAUUUGAAGUUGUGCCCCCAACUUGCAUAUUAGAUUUUGGAUUUUUUUGUUAUUUUUCUUACGAUCCUAAAGUCAACGGUAAAAAUAUGGGUGUAGCCACUCAACCGUCCGGCCCGCGAGACUGUUUUCCUGUCAACCGUCCGGGGUUUUUUAGCGACGCACGCCCCGCGCAGCGCAUUCACAACUUUCUACAAAAAUUAUAACUACACUGCCAUCAAAAUUUUUUUAGAGCUAACUAUUUAGUUAGACUACGUUGUCGCAUCAAGAGAAAUUAGUAAGUAAUGCCGUAAUAUUCCGUUAGAUGGCUCUGAAAUCAAAUCUUUCUUCCACCCCUUUGGAUAGUAAGGUUCCCGCGGACGGUUAAGAGCAUAUUUUUUUCGGAUACUAUGCUAUCGUCGGACGGUCAAGUGGGUAGACAACUUACUCAAAAAUAUGUCCCGUAGUUCUUAAUUCACUGACAUAAGAGUUAUGGGACAUAUUUUUGAAAUGAUUUGUACACCGAUAUUUUUACCGUUGACUGUACAAGAAAAAAAGUGUCCCCAAAAUUUCAUACAAAUUUGUUGCCCGUAUUAUAACGGUCAUAGAAGCUUGUAUUGAAAUUUUGGGGACAGGUUUUUUUCUCAGUAAAACGGAGAAAGGUCGUGGUUCUGAGUAGAAAAUAUAUAAAAAUUCUCAAUUAUAACACAAAAAAUUUUGGUACAAGUUUAAAUAGAAAUGUCCAAAAAGUGAAUAGACUGGCGGCCUAGCCAAGGUGUCAAUCGCUUGCGCUUCGCCAUAGAAUUGUGUCUCUCUAUCACUCUUCCAUAUUAGUGUGACAGUGACAGUUACGUUUCGUUCGCUACGUAGCGUUAAGUGGCCCACUGAUUAACAGUCCGCCGGACGGUAUCGGCCUGACAGUUAGAACAAAAUUUUGACAGUUCCUCACAACUGACAGGCCGAUACCGUCCGGCGGACUGUUAAUCAGUGGGCCCCUUUAGCGAUUGGCAUGUUGUCUACGGGGCCUGGUGUGAUAUUGAUCGAAUUUACAAGCGGAUACGGUAUCGUAGGUAUAACGUAUAUUAUAUUGCGUCACAACACUCGUUUGGUAAUGAAUAUGCCUUUAUUCGACUAUAGACCAAAAUCAAUUCAUCGUUGAGAGCAAAAAGUUAUAGGGUAAUUCGUCAGUAACUGGCCACCCCAAACCAAAAAUGAUAAUGAUAAGAUAAAUAAGUUUUUGGCAAAAAUUUCAUUUUUGUUACAAGCUUUUAUCGCUGACUGUACUUUUCUUUCCACGGGCAACUAAUGCUCAUCGAGACAAUUCUAAAGACCCCAAACACAAUUAGGUUUCGUUGUUUUAUCACAUAGUUCCUAUGGCCACCUCCGGUCUCCAUCAUCAGAUCAGCUCGAUGACACCAUAAUAUUGCAUUGUCACCCGACUUACGUAUGUAUGCAAAAUUUCAGCUCAAUCGGAAACCGGGAAGUGGAUCAAAUGUAAUUUGCAAGAUUUGAUUACACACAGACAACGGUCAGGUGAAACUAAAUAAAAGCUUGUAAAAUAUUUUAUUCAAGCAGUGCAUGUUACAAUGCGCUCAUGAACGUCAAAUAAAACUAUACAGGCUCCAACCCUACACCUCUGCCUCGAGAAGAUUUAAAUCCCCCCCUCAAUUGGAGGAGGGAAUUGAUGUCUAUCCACCUAUAAAUACACUUAAAGUUUGUUGGCUCGUAGAAAAAGUAUUGUAUACAAUAGUGAUAUAAUCAAGCUUUUCAAUCUCGUACCUGACUUAGGCAACUCAGCAAGCUUCGUUGCCUAAACACGGUACUCGACUGAAAAGCUCUCUAUUAUAUCACGAUUGUAUAAAAUAUAGUGAUGUACCGACUAUUGAUUUGGCCGACUAAUCGGCACUCCAAUGGCCGAUUAGUCGGCCGACUAGUCGGCUAGUCGGCCAGAUCAUUAGUUUCGUAUAAUUUCAGGUUAAAAACAAUACUUUUGCUCGUUUGGUUGCGCUAUUCAUCAUAUUAGCUUGGCUAAAAGGUGUUCUCUACAGGUUCAUAGAACUAUCACAAGACUGAGCAGACCGUCAGUACAACUUGUAGGAGGUAUUUCCAGGGCUCUAUUUCCGGUACGUAGUCGCCAGUUAAGAACCUAUCCUCCGUGGUCAGCGUCUUUACGAGCAACGUGCCCUAUUUAUAAGUCUCUAAAUUUUGCAAUAACAUUAACAUUUCCCUAUUGCUCCACCAUUUAAAAAAAAACAAAACUGAAUAAUAAUAAAAUAAUUUAACUAUAGAACUUGGCCAUGAAAUUACACGCGAAACAAUUACAAGUUGAGAUCGACCUGUAGAGGAAAGCACCAGCCCACUAUCUUACGAUAUCGAUCAAACGGUCAAUUAUAUGAACAACAGUUUUCGUCUGCACCCUGAAUAGGUAUUUUGGUAAAAUAGACAUAAAACAUAUGGCAAAUAUUGACUGUUGAUUUCUUUUAUUUCUAUUUUCUUUCACUAAUAAAGUGCCGACUAAUCGGCCAUUUUUGCCGACUAGUCGCCGACUAAUCGCCGACUACAAAUGUGGCCGGAUAGUCGGCUUUCCCGACUAGUCGGCGACUAGUCGGUACAUCCCUAAUAAAAUACUAUUAUUUUAGCAUAAGGUGGCCAGUUAUUAAAACCUUAUACCUACUAAAUUGAAUUCUGUUUAUAGGUGAAUAGAAUUAAUUUUUAGUUUAGGGUGGCCAGUUACUAAAAGUGGCCAGUUACUGGCGAAUUAACCUAAUAAAUCGUAAAAACAAUUACGUUUAAUAUGGCAAUGCGUACAUUUGCCGUUUUAUUUAAAGUUGCACUAUACUUUUAUGCCACGUCGGUAUACAAGCAUACGGCCUGCCUGUUGGUAAACAGUCACCGUAGCCCAUGGACGCCUGCAGCUCCAAAACUGCUCACACUUUUCUUUAGGUUUGAAAUUUUUUAUUUUAUUUCUACUAAGAAACCUUUUUGUGGGAAACUUUCUCCUACUAAAAUCGAAAGAGCUCGUGAUUCUUCGAAAGGUCUCGUGAUUCUUCGAAAGAUCUCGUGAUUCUGAGUGGAAAUAAACAACAAAAUCCAAAAUGAGAAAAAAAGUAUAAUGUACAACUUUAAAUAAUAUCCACAUACGUCUAUAAUCUAUAGGCUACGGUGCCCGUUUACUAUUGAACGCGUAGAAUUAUUUGCCACCACAGUUUAAAAGAAUAUAAAUAUACUUAACUAACAAUUUUGUGGUCUGUAGUCGAAAAGGAAAUACCUUAUUUCAAAAAAAUCUUGCCAAAGUUUGAUUAAAAAAAUACACGCAUACUUUAGCGUGUAUGUCGUAAUUGGGCUGGCUUAAAUGGGUUUGAAAUAUAAAAUUUUAUUUUUUCCAAAGAUAUUAAAUACUCUUGUUAUUUAACUGAUUCGCAAGACCGAAGUGAUCCCAUAAGUGUUCCGUGAACAAAGUUUUGUACGGAGCAGUAAAAGCGAAAAAUAUGAAGUUUAUAUUUCAGACCUAUAUCCUUAGGCACAUUUGCACCAUCCCACUAACCCGGGGUUAAGUUGUUAAACCGUUAACCCAGUGUCAAAUUGUACUGGUAACCAUGGUAACUACAGGUUUAACCGGUUAACCCCGGGUUAGUGAAUGGUGCGAGUGGCCCUUAGUGUGACAUUCGACUUUAUAUAUUUUUGUUUGGUGCUCGUAAUAUUAGUUUUCUUUCCGAAUUGUCUGCAUUUUUCAUAGUUGUUAAUGAUCGAGUACAAUGUUUCUGGAAUAUUGUCGCGCACAGUAGGAAGAUCGCUAGAGUAUGUAGCAACGUUUAAGAUAAAAUAUUGGGGGUCGAAAGUGACACGGGUUCGAAUUUAACCCCUGGGGAUUGGAGUGAUCCCCAAAUUUUAUCCAAUUGUAAUUGUUAUUCUUUUUAGAAGUUUAGGGAUCGAUAAGACCUCCAAAAUUGUUUUGGGGAUCGAAAAGGAUCCUAAACAAUUUUACCUAAUUUUGUUAUAUUUGGGUGAAAUUUGCGGGUCGUGUAACCCCAUUUUAUUUACCAUAUUAUUAGUAGGUUAAGGAAGGUGGGUAGAUAUUUUUGAAUAAUGCAAGAGCGUGCAUUUGAAGACCGGAGUCUUGUAUCUAUUAUAAUUAUAAAUAAAUCGGAAAGAUAUUUAUAUUGAGAAAUAUAUAUUUUGAAUUUUAUAUAAGCGGGGUGGACCGGGAUUUUUUGUGUUGUGCAAUUUGUUUUCUAAUGUUUAAAAACAAAAAAUAUCCCAAAUAAAAAUACAAUGCACUUUUUGUAGCGCCCAUAGGCUAAGUUAGCGCUAACCAUCGGGUGAUCUGUAUGCUUGUUCGCAACCAGGUGGUGUAAAUAAAAUGUGUACUAAAUGAAAUUAUUUCGAGUAUUGACUCUAAAUAGAAUUUCUCUAUUAAAAAGUAAAAUGUUUAUGAAUAUUUUAAUAUUAUUCGAGUAUGAAAAACGUGAGAAAACAAUUUGCACCUGCCAGUUAUUCUUUUAAGGUUACUCUAUAGACAUGGUUCAAACAAAUUUCAAUUAAUAGUUAUUAAAAUCUAGUGUGGUCAAAAUACGUUUUCGAGCAACGGAAACUUUUUUCGCAUGCCAAUAAGGACUUUUUAUGUCGUAAAAUUUACUUAAAAUUGUCCUUAUUGACAACCGAUAACUUGUUUAAAAACUACACACGAGUCAAUAUCAAAAUUAAGUUUUAAUAACAAUACCAAACCGUUGUAUAAGUGUAUAUUAAUGUAAAAAAUAUAUAAUUUUCGUGUUAUUAUUUUGGGGAUUGAAACGACCUCCAAAAUCCUUUUGGGGAUCGAAAGAGACCCUAAACCAUUUAAGUUAACUAUAAAUCUAUGGGAUAGCCUUAAAACUACUGGCGUUGUGCGCUCUUUACUGACCAAAGCUGUGAAAUUCGAUGCAAAGAUCGUUAAUUAUAAAUAAUAUAAUGAAUACACACAUUUUAUUUACAGAUAAUACAAAUACUUUAAAAGUAGUGUUGUUAUAUUGAGCUGGCUGAAAAUAAUAGCGUACUUUUUCUUGUCUAUGACUAUGUUUUAUUUUUUUUCUUGUCAGAGGUCGAGAAGGUUAGAUUAUAUAUUAAAUAAAAUGUGUGUAUGGGUCUCGGUUCAUAUACCAAUCGGCUCACUCGGACAAAUAUUGCUUAGUUACUUAACGUUAUAAUAUGUGAUGUCCAGCGGGUAAAGGCACCUUAUGGCGGUUGCCGCUUACGCUAUUAUUAACGCCGCUCCAAUAUUAUUGCGGCGCUAUGCGACGUAAGCGCCAGCUGCCAUCAGGUACCUUUUGCCGUAGGACGUCGCAUAUAUUUGUCAUAUUUUUUAUAUUACCUAUUCACGCUUGGCUGUGACUUUAGAACUUACUAGUAUUUUUAUGUUUUUUUUUUAAAUCAUGUAGCAACAUUAUACCAAUGCCUAAGAAAAAUUUGCCUUGGACUAAACAUCAUACAUACAAUCAAAUAAUGUCGUUCAGUCACCAUCAGAUACAUGGGUGCGGAUGCUCAAUAAUAUCUGAACACUCACUCUAGCGCCUUAAAUAGAGGCGUGUUCAGAUAUUUUGUGCGCAUCUCGGCCGCUCCGAUAUAUCUGAAGGCGUCUGUACAUACUUAUAUGGGGCAUUAUCUAUGAAAAUUGACCUUAUUGUCGGUGGUGCUUACGCCGCACAGCGUCACGCUCAUAAUGAUGAACAUCGUUAAUAAUGGCGUAAGUGCCAUCAACAAUAAGGUCCCUUUUCGUAGAUAACAUCACAUAUAUAAAUAGGCCGAAAGGGUUGGUAUUUAAAUUUAAUAUGUCGUAACUUUUGAUGGUUUUUUUAUUUAUGCCCUUUUUUUUCUAUAUUUGGUGUUGGUGGCCCGUUUGUAUAUGAAUCGUGUAGGAUAGGAGGAAUAGAGUAAAGAAUGCUAGAAAUACAAUCUUUUGUUUAUAUAUUUUUUACAGCAGUGGCCAUUUUCAAAUAAAAUAAGUGGAAAAAUUA